GCCCCUGUGGUGUAGUACGGUCAAUCAUCUCACCCUUUCGAGGUGAGGACCCGGGUUCAAAUGUCCUUUAGGGAGA
rnacentral:tRNA from 1 species